UAAUCCCAACUGUCGCUGACUUUUUAGGAU
rnacentral:sRNA from 1 species